AUUGAACGCUGGCGGCAGGCCUAACACAUGCAAGUCGAGCGAGCGGCGGACGGGUGAGUAAUGUAUGGGGACUGCCCGAUAGAGGGGGAGAACUACUGGGAACGGUGGCUAAUAUCGCAUACUGCCGAAUAACCCAUAUGGGAUUAGCUAGUAGGUAAGGUAAUGGCUUACCUAGGCGACGUUCCCUAGCUGGUCUGAGAGGAUGAUCAGCCACACUGGGACUGAGAAACGGCCCAGACUCCUACGGAGGCAGCAGUGGGGAAUAUUGCACAAUGGGCGCAAGCCUGAUGCAGCCAUGCCGCGUGUAUGAAGAAGGCCCUAGGGUUGUAAAGUACUUUCAGUCGGGAGGCGUUACCGACAGAAGAAGCACCGGCUAACUCCGUGCCAGCAGCCGCGGUAAUAC
rnacentral:rRNA from 1 species